rnacentral:tRNA from 1 species
GCGAGUGUAGUACAGUGGCAGUACACCAGCUUCCCAAGCUGGCUACGGGAGUUCGAUUCUCCUCACUCGCUCCA